AACGAACGCUGGCGGCAGGCCUAACACAUGCAAGUCGAGCGAGAUCUUCGGGUCUAGCGGCGGACGGGUGAGUAACGCGUGGGAAUAUGCCCUUCUCUGCGGAAUAGCCUCGGGAAACUGAGCGUAAUACCGCAUACGCCCUUUGGGGGAAAGAUUUAUCGGAGAAGGAUUAGCCCGCGUUGGAUUAGGUAGUUGGUGGGGUAACGGCCUACCAAGCCGACGAUCCAUAGCUGGUUUGAGAGGAUGAUCAGCCACACUGGGACUGAGACACGGCCCAGACUCCUACGGGAGGCAGCAGUGGGGAAUCUUAGACAAUGGGGGCAACCCUGAUCUAGCCAUGCCGCGUGAGUGAUGAAGGCCUUAGGGUUGUAAAGCUCUUUCAGCUGCGAAGAUAAUGACGGUACCAGCAGAAGAAGCCCCGGCUAACUCCGUG
rnacentral:rRNA from 1 species